AUUGAACGCUGGCGGCAUGCCUUACACAUGCAAGUCGAACGGCAGCGCGGACUUCGGUCUGGCGGCGAGUGGCGAACGGGUGAGUAAUACAUCGGAACGUACCCUGUUGUGGGGGAUAACUAGUCGAAAGAUUAGCUAAUACCGCAUACGACCUGAGGGUGAAAGUGGGGGACCGCAAGGCCUCACGCAGCAGGAGCGGCCGAUGUCUGAUUAGCUAGUUGGUGGGGUAAAGGCCCACCAAGGCGACGAUCAGUAGCUAGUCUGAGAGGACGAUCAGCCACACUGGAACUGAGACACGGCCCAGACUCCUACGGGAGGCAGCAGUGGGGAAUUUUGGACAAUGGGGGCAACCCUGAUCCAGCAAUGCCGCGUGUGUGAAGAAGGCCUUCGGGUUGUAAAGCACUUUUGUCCGGAAAGAAAACGCGCUGGUUAAUACCUGGCGUGGAUGACGGUACCGGAAGAAUAAGCACCGGCUAACUACGUG
rnacentral:rRNA from 1 species